rnacentral:rRNA from 1 species
ACGGCUCAGUAACACGUGGAUAACCAGCCCUAUGCUCUGGGAUAACCUCGGGAAACUGAGAAUAAUACCGGAUAGAUCACAACGCCUGGAACGGUGUGUGGUUGAAAGGUUACGGCAUAGGAUGGGUCUGCGGCGUAUCAGGUUGUAGGGGGUGUAAUGGACCCCCUAGCCAUCGACGCGUACGGGUGUUGGGAGACAUAGCCCGGAGACGGAUUCUGAGACACGAAUCCGGACCCUACGGGGUGCAGCAGGCACGAGAACUUCACACUGCAGGAAACUGUGAUGAGGGAACUCCAAGUGGAUGCACAUAGUGUAUCUCUUUUCUUUACUAUUAAUCGGUAUUGGAAUAAGGGCUGGGAAGGACCGGUGCCAGCCGCCGCGGUAAUACCGGCAGCUCGAGUGGUCGUCGCUUUUAUUGGGCCUAAAACGUCCGUAGCCGGUUUGGUAAAUCUGUGGGUAAAUCAACUAGCUUAACUAGUUGAAUUCUGCAGAGACUGCCAGACCAGGAACCGGGAGAGGUGUGGGGUACUCAAGGGGUAGGGGUAAAAUCCUGUCAUCCUUUGAGGACCACCAGUUGCGAAGGCGCCACACUAGAACGGAUUCGACGGUCAGGGACGAAGCCUAGGGGCACGAACCGGAUUAGAUACCCGGGUAGUCCUAGGUGUAAACGCUGUGAACUUGGUGUCGGGAGUCCGCAAUGGGCCCCCGGUGCCGGAGUGAAGAUGUUAAGUUCACUGCCUGGGGAGUACGGUCGCAAGGCUGAAACUUAAAGGAAUUGGCGGGGGAGCAC